rnacentral:rRNA from 1 species
GACGAACGCUGGCGGCGUGCUUAACACAUGCAAGACGAACGGUGAAAGCGGAGCUUGCUCCGCUGGAUCAGUGGCGAACGGGUGAGUAACACGUGGGCAACCUGCCCCUCACUUCGGGAUAACUCCGGGAAACCGGGGCUAAUACCGGAUACGACCUCCUUGGGCAUCCUUGGAGGUGGAAAGUUUUUCGGUGAGGGAUGGGCCCGCGGCCUAUCAGCUUGUUGGUGAGGUAGUGGCUCACCAAGGCGACGACGGGUAGCCGGCCUGAGAGGGCGACCGGCCACACUGGGACUGAGACACGGCCCAGACUCCUACGGGAGGCAGCAGUGGGGAAUAUUGCGCAAUGGGCGAAAGCCUGACGCAGCAACGCCGCGUGCGGGAUGAAGGCCUUCGGGUUGUAAACCGCUUUCAGCAGGGAAGAAGCCGCAAGGUGACGGUACCUGCAGAAGAAGCACCGGCUAACUACGUGCCAGCCGCCGCCGUAA